CCAAUAGCGUAUAUUAAAGUUGCUGCAGUUAAAAAGCUCGUAGUUGAAUUUCGGGACCAUCAUGUCGGUCGUGCCUCGGUACGUACUGGCAUUGUUGGUUUCUCCCUUCUGACGAACCAUGAUGUCAUUAAUUUGGUGUCUUGGGGAAUCAGGACUGUUACUUUGAAAAAAUUAGAGUGUUUAAAGCAGGCUCACGCUUGAAUACAUUAGCAUGGAAUAGUGAAAUAGGACGUUUGAUUCUAUUUUGUUGGUUUCUAGGAUCGACGUAAUGAUUAAUAGGGAUAGUUGGGGGCAUUAGUAUUCAAUUGUCAGAGGUGAAAUUCUUGGAUUUAUUGAGGACUAACUACUGCGAAAGCAUUUGCCAAGGAUGUUCUCAUUAAUCAAGAACGAAAGUUAGGGGAUCGAAGACGAUCAGAUACCGUCGUAGUCUUAACCAUAAACUAUGCCGACUAGGGAUCGGAUGAUGUUAAUUUUUUAAUGACUCAUUCGGCGCCUUACG
rnacentral:rRNA from 1 species